rnacentral:rRNA from 1 species
ACAGGAUUAGAUACCCUGGUAGUCUACUCUGUAAACGAUGAAUGCUCGUGCUUAGAAUAAAAUUUUAGGCACCAAGUUAACACGUUAAGCAUUCCACCUGAGGAGUAAAGUCGCAAGACCGGAACUCAAAGGAAUUGACGGGGGCCUAUACAAGUGGUGGAGCAUGUGGUUUAAUGCGAUAAUACGCGCGGAAUCUUACCAGUCUUUGAUUGUUUAAAUAAAAUUAUUUAAACACAGGUGUUGCAUGGCUGUCGUCAGCUCGUG